rnacentral:rRNA from 1 species
GUAGGGAAUAUUGCGCAAUGGGGGAAACCCUGACGCAGCGACGCCGCGUGAGUGAUGAAGGCCUUCGGGUCGUAAAGCUCUGUUGCAGGGGAAUAAAAAAAUGAAGGUACCCUGUGAGGAAGGAUCGGCUAACUUCGUGCCAGCAGCCGCGGUAAGACGAGGGAUCCUAGCGUUGCUCGGAAUCAUUGGGCGUAAAGAGGGCGUAGGUGGCCUGGUAAGUCAGGUGUGAAAGCCCAGGGCUCAACCCUGGAAGUGCAUUUGAUACUGCUGAGCUUGAGAGUCGGAGAGGUUACCGGAAUACCUGGUGUAGUGGUGAAAUACGUAGAUAUCAGGUGGAACACCGGAGGCGAAGGCGGGUAACUGGACGAACACUGACACUGAGGCCCGAAAGCGUGGGGAGCAAACAGGAUUAGAAACCCCUGUAGUCC